rnacentral:tRNA from 1 species
GGCCCGUAGUGUAACCUGGUUUAACACAUCUGCCUGUCACGCAGAAGAUCAAGGAUUCAAAUUGGACUCUGGCAGCCCCAGUAUAACUGUAGCCUCUCGGCGUUGCCA